rnacentral:rRNA from 1 species
UGGGUUAAAUCCACCGGAAUUCUGCAGAGAUGUGGAAGUGCCCUUCGGGGAGCCGGUGAGAAGGUGCUGCAUGGCUGUCGUCAGCUCGUGUCGUGAGAUGUUGGGUUAAGUCCCGCAACGAGCGCAACCCUCGUCGUUAGUUGCUAACGGUUCGGCCGAGCACUCUAACGAGACUGCCGACGUUAAGUCGGAGGAAGGUGGGGAUGACGUCAAGUCCUCAUGGCCCUUAUGCCCAGGGCUACACACGUGCUACAAUGGCCGGUACAAAGGGUUGCUAACCUGCAAAGGCACGCCAAUCCCAAAAAACCGGUCUCAGUUCGGAUUGGAGUCUGCAACUCGACUCCAUGAAGGCGGAAUCGCUAGUAAUCGCGGAUCAGCACGCCGCGGUGAAUACGUUCCCGGGCC